AGCCUUCUAUAUCCGUGCUGAGAUUUCGUCACACACCAAACCACCAGGGCUGAUGAGACUCCCAAGAUUAUAUAUAUAUCA
rfam:Schistosoma curassoni strain Dakar, Senegal genome assembly, scaffold: SCTD_scaffold0002576